UCAGUAAAUGUUUAUUGGAUGAAUAAAUGAAUGACUCAUCAACAAACAUUUAUCGUGUGC
rnacentral:pre_miRNA from 1 species